GGAUGUGAGGGCGAUCUGGUUGCGACAUCUGUCACUCCAUUGAUCGCCAGGGUUGAUUCGGCUCAUCUGGCUGGCUAGGCGGGUGUCCCCUUCCUCCCUCACUGCUCCAUGUGCGUCCCUCCCGAAGCUGCGCACUCGGUCGAAGAGGACGACCAUCCCCGAUAGAGGAGGACCGGUCUUCGGUCAAGGGUAUACGAGUAGCUGCACUCCCCUGCUAGAACCUCCAAACAAGCUCUCAAAAGCCCAUCU
rnacentral:lncRNA from 1 species